rnacentral:misc_RNA from 1 species
GAAAUGCGAUACGCAGUGCGAAUUGCAGAACGCGAGUCAUCAGAUCUUUGAACGCAAGUGGCGCCGGUUUGCAGCCGGCAUGUGAGGCUCAGUGUGUAAGGAAAUCACACAAGUGAAUGUGGUUGAAGAUGCGCCUUUUUUUCGGAAAAGUGGGCGUCUUCUCCCAUUAAACGAGCGGAUGAAUGUUUUUUUCGACACAUUCUUCUCUCCGGAAGUAGUCACUAGCUCCCUAGUGAUCUAACGGAGACACCUUGUGUUACUAAACACGCCGUUUUUUCGAAAGAAAAACAAAAACAACAUUCCUCACUCUACACCUGAGCUUUGCAAGAUUACCCGCUGAACUUAA